AAUGAACGCUGGCGGCAGGCCUAAUACAUGCAAGUCGAACGAGUGGCGGACGUGUGAGUAAUGUCUGGGAACCUGCCCGAUGGAGGGGGAUACCUACUGGAAACGGUAGUUAAUACCGCAAACCAUCGGAUGUGCCCAGAUGGGAUUAGCUAUUAGGUGGGGUAAAGGCUAACCAAGGCGACGAUCCACAGCUGGUCUGAGAGGAUGACCAGCCACACUGGAACGGAGACACGGUCCAGACUCCUACGGGAGGCAGCAGUGGGGAAUAUUGCACAAUGGGCGAAAGCCUGAUGCAGCCAUGCCGCGUGUAUGAAGAAGGCCUUCGGGUUGUAAAGUACUUUCAGCGGGGAGGCGUUACCCGCAGAAGAAGCACCGGCUAACUCCGUGCCAGCCGCCGCGGUAAUUC
rnacentral:rRNA from 1 species